AAUAGAUACCCGGGUAGUCCUAGCUGUAAACGAUGAGCACUGGGUUGAGGGGACUUCCACAUCCUCUCGGCCGUAGCGAAAGCGUUAAGUGCUCCGCCUGGGGAGUAUGGCCGCAAGGCUGAAACUCAAAGGAAUUGACGGGGGCUCACACAAGCGGUGGAGGAUGUGGCUUAAUUCGAGGCUACGCGAAGAACCUUAUCCUAGAUUUGACAUGGUUGAGAAUCUCCUUGAAAGAGGAGAGUGCCCUUCGGGGAGCUCUUUCACAGGUGCUGCAUGGCUGUCGUCAGCUCGUGUCGUGAGAUGUUGGGUUAAGUCCCUUAACGAGCGAAACCCUUAUCUUUAGUUGCCAGCGGGUCAAGCCGGGGACUCUAAAGAGACUGCCGGUGUCAAACCGGAAGAAGGUGGGGAUGACGUCAAGUCCUCAUGGCCUUUAUGUCUAGGGCUGCACACGUCCUACAAUGGCACGUACAAAGGGAAGCCAAGCCGCGAGGCCGCGCUAAUCCCAAAAAGCGUGCCCCAGUUCGGAUUGCAGG
rnacentral:rRNA from 1 species